UUUUGUAUCAUUUCAAAUCCCUAUUCUUAUCGAAGAAAAAGAACGAGAAAAACCGUCCCCAUUAACCGCUCGGGCAUCGACCCAGGAAGAAUCAAUUCCAGGCUUAGUAAUAAUUAAUAAGCCAUGACGACUUCGGGAUAGGCCACUUCGUUCCUCGCGAAGAGGCAGUCUCUCCCAGUUGAUUGAUUGCUUUUUUACUUUCUUUAUCGAGAUUGGCUUGGUGUUGAUUUGCUACAUAUAAGCGGGAGGAUUUAUUUAAGAAUAAUGAUCCCACUCAAACAAAUAGCGGACCUUUCUAUACGAAAUUCAAGCUCAAAGAGUAACCGGGAACAAGAAUCUUCACUCUUUCGACUCACUUAGAAUUAUAUAGAUAAUGAUCUUUCAUCGAGCACUUCUUAUUUCUUUCCUUACUUUCGUCCCUCAGUUUG
rnacentral:lncRNA from 1 species